CCUACGGGUGACUGCAGUGGGGAAUAUUGCACAAUGGGGGAAACCCUGAUGCAGCGACGCCGCGUGAGUGAAGAAGUAUUUCGGUAUGUAAAGCUCUAUCAGCAGGGAAGAAAAUGACGGUACCUGAGUAAGAAGCCACGGCGAACGACGGGCCAGCAGCCGCGGUAAUACGUAGGGGGCAAGCGUUAUCCGGAUUUACUGGGUGUAAAGGGAGCGUAGACGGCAGCACAAGGCUGGAGUGAAAUGCCGGGGCUUAACCCCGGAACUGCUUUGGAAACUGUGCAGCUAGAGUGCAGGAGAGGUAAGUGCACUUCCUAGUGUAGCGGUGACAUGCGUAGAUCUUAGGAGGAACACCAGUGGCGAAGGCGGCUUACUGGACUGUACCUGACGUUGAGGCUCG
rnacentral:rRNA from 1 species